GCACAAGCGGUGGAGCAUGUGGUUCAAUUCGAAGCAACGCGCAGAACCUUACCAACCUUUGACAUGUCCCGUAUGAGCAACAGAGAUGUAGCUCUUCAGUUCGGCUGGCGGGAACACAGGUGCUGCAUGGCUGUCGUCAGCUCGUGUCGUGAGAUGUUGGGUUAAGUCCCGCAACGAGCGCAACCCUCGCCCUUAGUUGCCAUCAUUCAGUUGGGCACUCUAAGGGGACUGCCGGUGAUAAGCCGCGAGGAAGGUGGGGAUGACGUCAAGUCCUCAUGGCCCUUACAGGUUGGGCUACACACGUGCUACAAUGGCGGUGACAGUGGGACGCAAUGGAGCAAUCCUGCGCAAAUCUCAAAAAGCCGUCUCAGUUCGGAUUGCACUCUGCAACUCGAGUGCAUGAAGUUGGAAUCGCUAGUAAUCGCAGAUCAGCACGCUGCGGUGAAUACGUUCCCGGGC
rnacentral:rRNA from 1 species